AAUAGAUGGCAAGCCUGUAGGCAGUAGUUUGUGAACACUUGCCUUAGAGUAUCUCUGAUUCUUUGUGAGUAUGAAAAAGAAAAAAAAAAAACACAUGAGGAGAUUUGGCACUUGGCAUAGAAGAAGAGACACAUCUCCAUUUAUAAUGCAUCUUCACUUGGAACCUUCAUGGAACCAAAUUAGAGAGUUCUGUAUAGGGUCAUAGAUGUAAGAGCACUUUAAAAGGCUUUCAUGGAAAACUUGAAGAUUGACUAUGCCGUAAAGAAAAGACUCAAUCAGGCACAUACUGUAUGUUUUGCAAUAGUAACAAAGGUCAUGGUACCAUUAUAUUAAAACUUAGUUUGUUAUAAUCAUUUUUGUGUCAUCAAAAAAUGUUUUGGGGGGGCCAGCCACAGUGACUCACACAUAUAUUCCCAGCACUUUGGGAGGCCAACAUGGGAGGACUGUUUGAGCCCAGGUGUUCAAGAUGAGCCUGGGCAACAUAGGGAGACCCUGAAAGAAAAAUGUAAAUGUAGACCUUUAGCUCCUUACCAACUGUCGAUAUUCAAGUGUUCUAGUGCCCAUGAUUUGCAACCUUUUCUUGUUUUUUUCUCCUGAUAAGAUCAGGCAAAGGAGAAGGAUUUCCAAAUAGCCUGAUAGUGUAUCAGUGUUUCAAAAAGUUAAAGCCCCAAGACUUACCAGGGAACUUUAAUUCUCAUAAAAAGAAAAUAAACCUUAUAUUAACCUUUACAUGUAAACUCAAAAUGGUGCACUCCCUGAAAGUAUUCCUCUUGUUGGAUAUUUACGAGAUAACUUUGCAAAUAGAAAACUGCACUGUCUUUGCUGCAGAUAUUAAGGAGUUAAUAAAUUAGACAGCCAACAAGCAGGAAUCGGGAAAAGCCACAGAACUUAGAAUUGAACAGCUGACAGCAGAUUCUGCAGGUGCAAGAUGGGAAUCAGCUCUGCAUUUUCUAUGUAGCACAGUUUUCUCUGCCUGGCCUGUGGCCUGAUUUCCUGGCCUCUUUGGGAUAAGCUGAAUUAUAAGACAGAGAAUUCCAGAAGAUCUAGCUCUGUGAUCCUAUGAACUCUAGCGCUCCAAAAGGAAGCAAUCUCCUUCUAUGUUUAGACUGACAAUAUUACAUAUUGGUGUCAGCCUUGUAAGAUUUUGGUUUCACGUUAGGAAAGAAAAAUGCUCUAAAUGCCAUCCUACUUAAAGAAAAAAUGGUUGAUUAAACUGCACUGCAUAACAAAUUAGCCUCCUGCAAUUGGGUGUCUAGGAAUGUGUAGUGUGUGUGUGUGUGUGUGUGUGUGUGUGUGUGUGUGUGUGUGUGUGUUGUGUAUGUUAAAGGGAAUCACUACUUAUUAAAUAUAUAAGUACCACAGUGAAUAUUAAGGUCAUAAUAGGGUAUGGGAAAGGAGAGAAAUGGGCUGCAUUCAAGUGCAUAUUUCUAAUCAACUACUUUUUUGUAUUCUUCUAAUCAUUGUAUUUGAUAGUAAUGGACAUUCAAGGCUAAACUCUGCAUUGUGGCAGUUCUUCCAAAUCUUUUUGGCUCUAUAGUGGUAAAAAUAUUAAUUCCAUUACACUUGAAAAUGUCCAAUAUGAUCCCUUGAUUAACAAAACAUUCCGGUGUUUCUUCUGUGAAGGACUUUGGGCUGCCUGCAAGGGUGACGGUAGGAGUGGCUGAUUGAAUUGAUAAUAGGAAAAUUAAUUUUUUUCCAUGCUGGUGAAUAUGGCCUACACAUCCAAACCCUUUUGACAAAACUAUUAUGAGGAAUAUAUUUGUAAUAAGGACAGAAAAACUUGGAGAUCUGGGAUUUUUUUUUUACCUAAAUGGACUCCAGGGAGGACAGAUAAAUACCUCUAGUUAGCAACGGUUAAAAUGGGAGCUAAUACCAACUAUUAAUUCCCAGUUUGGAUCUUCUCUUUCUCUCAGGACUACUUUAAGUCCCCAAAAUUCCAUGCUUCCAAUUUCCCCUUCUACAACUGAAGAUCCUAUGAUUUAAAUCAUAAAAGAUUAGCUAUAUUUGGACACUGGCCUUGUAUUAGCAUGACAGAAAAUUCUGAAAAGAUCUCCCCACUCCAAAAAUGUCUUUCUCAGACUUUUUGUGGGGACCUAAAAUUCCACCACUAGAAAUUUUAAUAUUUAGAGUAAUGUUGUGUCCCUUACUGACAAAUUCAAUUUCAAAACACAGUAAAAUUAAAUAAACAUAAAAAUAAAUGUAUUAAAUAAAUAUAAUUUUUAAGUAUUUGUGGGCCAAAGAUCAGGAGGGAAUAUAGAAAUGUUAUUUGUGGCAUGAAGGUAGUAGUAUUACAGAUUACAUCUUCAUUUUAUAAUUUCUCUUUACUAUGCUGAUAAUAAACAUCAAUAGGGAAAAAAAUAGUGUUACUUUUGAAGGCUCAAUUCUACCUGACCACUGUAUCUCCAGCUAGUGGAACCUAAAAUAUAAGUCACCAAAAUUUUAAAAUAAAAAAAUUAAAGAAUACUCUCACUUAGUGAUUUACAACUAGAUUUAGGGAGAAAAAAACAAAACUCAACAAAUAUUCACUUAAAAGUUAAUGAGUAUUUGCUAUGGAGAAGGCAUUUUGUUGAGUGAUACAGAGGAUACAAAAAUGACCAAGAUCUGCAACCCCCCUCUUUCAAAAGCUUAUGGCAUAAGGCUAGUAACUUAGAAGAAAAAGCACAUUGUUAUCAGUCAUCAGUAUAUUUUGGUGAAUCCAUCUAUUAGCCAAUUUGUUUCAGACUUUGAAAAGCUGAAGGAUGGGGCAAGCCUAGGAUACUACCUAGGAAAGAUCAGCCUGGAUUAAGACACUUAAUGAAAGAAGAUGAGGGAAGUGGGCACAAGCCGGGGGAGGCGAUAGCACAAAAGAGGGUAGAAGAUGAGAGCACGCUGACUGCAAACUGUGUGUGUUUCAGAGGGUGGAUUUCCUAGCUCUGACUUCUAGCAAAUAAUUUUCAAAAUGUAAAGUGGACCUUAACAAAGUACUAUUCUUAUCAAUCCAAGAGUGCCAAGCAAUCAAGGAGAGAGAUUUACAGACAAUGUACUUUCAAAUUCACAAUGCAAACUCUAAAGUAAUAUGCAUUUUCUUAUAAGCUUAACUUUAGUAAAGAAUGAUUUUUGAAGUUCACUCAAAUAUCGAAUAUUUGCAGAUAUCCUUAUUUCAUUACUUUGCUCCAAAUAUUUAAAACCAGAUGAAAAAAAGUAAUGUCCUUAAGGAGUCAAAUUCAUUAUUAAAAUAAGAUAUUUUCCAAGUUGUUUGGAAAAUGGUUUACUUUCUUUUUUCCCCCUUUACUAGACCUCAAAAUACAUUGAGUUUUCCUCACUGGUAAAGAAAUACAACAUUGAGAAGUAUCAAGUGAAUCCACUUGAACAGGCUUCAAAACCAUACCACUAACGUAUUAUUUUAAAAUGUUUCUCUAAGACGCAUUUAUUACAAGGGAACACUGUUUAGGAAGCAUUAACACUCACAGUCCCUAAAUUUUAAAUUGGUCCCUAAUAUUCCAUUUGGUAAUCAAUAUCCUCCUUUGCUCCUCCCCCACCCUCUCAGAUGGCCUUAUUCUCUGUCAGUAUCUAUCACAUUUUCUUUUUUCUUUUUUU
rnacentral:lncRNA from 1 species